GUCGAUAAAGACAGGAGUGGAGUGAUAUCAGACACCGAGCUUCAGCAAGCUCUCUCCAACGGCACGUGGACUCCCUUUAAUCCAGUGACUGUCAGGUCGAUCAUAUGCUACCGGCUCUCUGACCAGUUCCACGACAUCCUCAUUCGAAAGUUUGACAGGCAGGGACGGGGGCAGAUUGCCUUCGACGACUUCAUCCAGGGCUGCAUCGUCCUGCAGAGGUUGACGGAUAUAUUCAGACGUUACGACACGGAUCAGGACGGCUGGAUUCAGGUGUCGUACGAACAGUACCUGUCCAUGGUCUUCAGUAUCGUAUGACCCUGGCCUCUCGUGAAGAGCAGCACAACAUGGAAAGAGCCAAAAUGUCACAGUUCCUAUCUGUGAGGGAAUGGAGCACAGGUGCAGUUAGAUGCUGUUCUUCCUUUAGAUUUUGUCACGUGGGGACCCAGCUGUACAUAUGUGGAUAAGCUGAUUAAUGGUUUUGCAACU
rnacentral:lncRNA from 1 species